UACGGAGGGGACUAGCGUUGUUCGGAAUUACUGGGCGUAAAGGGCUCGUAGGCGGCCAACUAAGUCGGACGUGAAAUCCCCAGGCUCAACCUGGGAACUGCGUCCGAUACUGGAUGGCUUGAAUUCGGGAGAGGGAUGCAGAAUUCCAGGUGUAGCGGUGAAAUGCGUAGAUAUCUGGAGGAACACCGGUGGCGAAGGCGGCAUCCUGGACCGGUAUUGACGCUGAGGCGCGAAAGCCAGGGGAGCAAACGGG
rnacentral:rRNA from 1 species